rnacentral:rRNA from 1 species
UGAGGAAUAUUGGUCAAUGGGCGAGAGCCUGAACCAGCCAAGUCGCGUGAAGGAAGACAGUCCUAAGGAUUGUAAACUUCUUUUAUACGGGAAUAACGGGCGAUACGAGUAUUGCAUUGAAUGUACCGUAAGAAUAAGCAUCGGCUAACUCCGUGCCAGCAGCCGCGGUAAUACGGAGGAUGCGAGCGUUAUCCGGAUUUAUUGGGUUUAAAGGGUGCGUAGGUUGUUCGGUAAGUCAGCGGUGAAACCUGAGCGCUCAACGUUCAGUCUGCCGUUGAAACUGCCGGGCUUGAGUUCAGUGGCGGCAGGCGGAAUUCGUGGUGUAGCGGUGAAAUGCAUAGAUAUCACGAGGAACUCCGAUUGCGAAGGCAGCUUGCCAUACUGCGACUGACACUGAAGCACGAAGGCGUGGGUAUCAAACAGGAUUAGAUACCCUGGUAGUCCACGCAGUAAACGAUGAUUACUAGGAGUUUGCGAUAUACCGUCAAGCUUCCACAGCGAAAGCGUUAAGUAAUCCACCUGGGGAGUACGCCGGCAACGGUG